GAUGAACGCUGGCGGCGUGCCUAAUACAUGCAAGUCGAGCGAACGGACGAGAAGCUUGCUUUUCUGAUGUUAGCGGCGGACGGGUGAGUAACACGUGGAUAACCUACCUAUAUGUCUGGGAUAACUUCGGGAAAACGGUGCUAAUACCGGAUAAUAUUUUGAACCGCAUGGUUCAAAAGUGAAAGACGGCCUUGCUGUCACUUAUAGAUGGAUCCGCGCUGCAUUAGCUAGUUGGUAAGGUAACGGCUUACCAAGGCAACGAUGCAUAGCCGACCUGAGAGGAUGAUCGGCCACACUGGAACUGAGACACGGUCCAGACUCCUACGGGAGGCAGCAGUAGGGAAUCUUCGGCAAUGGGCGAAAGCCUGACGGAGCAACGCCGCGUGAGUGAUGAAGGUCUUCGGAUCGUAAAACUCUGUUAUUAGGGAAGAACAUAUGUGUAAGUAACUGUGCACAUCUUGACGGUACCUAAUCAGAAAGCCCCGGCUAACUACGUG
rnacentral:rRNA from 1 species